rnacentral:rRNA from 1 species
UGGGGAAUUUUGGACAAUUGGGCGAAAGCCUGAUCCAGCAAUGCCGCGUGUGUGAAGAAGGCCUUCGGGUUGUAAAGCACUUUUGUCCGGAAAGAAAUCCUUGGCUCUAAUACAGUCGGGGGAUGACGGUACCGGAAGAAUAAGCACCGGCUAACUACGUGCCAGCAGCCGCGGUAAUACGUAGGGUGCAAGCGUUAAUCGGAAUUACUGGGCGUAAAGCGUGCGCAGGCGGUUUGCUAAGACCGAUGUGAAAUCCCCGGGCUCAACCUGGGAACUGCAUUGGUGACUGGCAGGCUAGAGUAUGGCAGAGGGGGGUAGAAUUCCACGUGUAGCAGUGAAAUGCGUAGAGAUGUGGAGGAAUACCGAUGGCGAAGGCAGCCCCCUGGGCCAAUACUGACGCUCAUGCACGAAAAGCGUGGGGAGCAAAACAGGAUUAGAUACCCCUGGUAGUCCACGCCCUAAANGAUGUCAACUAGUUGUUGGGGAUUCAUUUCCUUAGUAACGUAGCUAACGCGUGAAGUUGACCGCCUGGGGAGUACGGUCGAAGAUUAAAACUCAAAU